UACCUGCAGCUCGAGUGGUAACCGUUAUUAUUGGGCCUAAAGCGUCCGUAGCCGGUUUGGUAAAUAUCUGGGUAAAUCGUGAGGCUUAACUUCACGAAUUUCGGAUAGACUGCCAGACUUGGGAUCGGGGGAGGUCAGAGGUACUCCAGGGGUAGCGGUGAAAUGUUGUAAUCCUUGGAGGACCACCGGUAGCGAAGGCGUCUGACUAGAACGAGUCCGACGGUGAGGGACGAAGCCCUGGGGCGCAGACCGGAUUAGAUACCCGGGUAGUCCAGGGUGUAAACGAUGUGGGCUUUGUAUUGGAGGUCCCACGUGGGCGUCCAGUGCAGAAGAGAAGUUGUUAAGCCCACCGCCUGGGAAGUACGGUCGCAAGGCUGAAACUUAAAGGAAUUGGCGGGGGAGCACAGCAACGGGAGGAGCGUGCGGUUU
rnacentral:rRNA from 1 species